AUUCCCAGUUGGGCACAUAGAAAGCAUGUGCUUAACAUUAAAACCAAACCCACACAAAAGCCCGUACACUUUAACAACUCAAAAAUCACAACCACUUACCUCAGAACUUGAUAACUCUUUCACUCGGGGAGACUAAAAGAAAUACAAAAACAG